rnacentral:rRNA from 1 species
GAUGAACGCUAGCUACAGGCUUUAACACAUGCAAGUCGAGGGGAACGAUAUUGGGAAGCUUGCUUCCGAUAGGCGUCGACCGGCGCACGGGUGAGUAACGCGUAUCCAACCUUCCCGCAACUGGGGAAUAACCUUGCGAAAGUAAGACUAAUACCCCAUGGUCUCCACGGAUGGCAUCUGAAAUGGAGUAAAGGUUUCGGCCGGUUGCGGAUGGGGAUGCGUCCGAUUAGCUUGACGGCGGGGUAACGGCCCACCGUGGCAUCGAUCGGUAGGGGUUCUGAGAGGAAGGUCCCCCACAUUGGAACUGAGACACGGUCCAAACUCCUACGGGAGGCAGCAGUGGGGAAUAUUGGGCAAUGGGCGCAAGCCUGACCCAGCAACGCCGCGUGAAGGAAGAAGGCUUUCGGGUUGUAAACUUCUUUUGUCAGGGACGAAUAAAUGACGGUACUUGACGAAUAAGCCACGGCUAACUACGUG